UACGAAGGGGGCUAGCGUUGUUCGGAUUUACUGGGCGUAAAGGGAGUGUAGGCGGUUUUAUAAGUCAGACGUGAAAGCCCGGGGCUCAACCCCGGAAAUUGCGUUUGAGACUAUAAGACUUGAGUGUCUGAGGGGUAAGCGGGAAUUCCCAGUGUAGAGGUGAAAUUCGUAGAUAUUGGGAGGAACACCGGUGGCGUAGGCGGCUUACUGGCAGACAACUGACGCUGAGGCUCGAAAGCGUGGGGAGCAAACAG
rnacentral:rRNA from 1 species